rnacentral:misc_RNA from 1 species
GAUGAAGAACGCCAGUGAAAUGCGAUAAGUAAUGCGAAUUGCAGAAUCCGUGAGUCAUCGAAUCUUUGAACGCACAUUGCGCCCGCCAGUAUUCUGGCGGGCAUGCCUGUUCGAGCGUCAUUUCAACCAUCAAGCCCCCGGCUUGUGUUGGGGACCUGCGGCUGCCGCAGGCCCUGAAAAGCAGUGGCGGGCUCGCUGUCACACCGAGCGUAGUAGCAUACAUCUCGCUCUGGGCGUGCUGCGGGUUCCGGCCGUUAAACCACCUUCAUAACCCAAGGUUGACCUCGGAUCAGGUAGGAAGACCCGCUGAACUUAAGCAUAUCAAUAAGCGGAGGA